rnacentral:lncRNA from 1 species
AGGGUUGGAUUGUCAUAAUUUUUUUGAAGAGGUAUCAUAAUUUUUUUUGAAGAGAUCUUGUAACCAAAGAGUAAAGGUAUUUUCGUCAUACAAAAUUUUUAAACGAAAAAAAUGAUCUGCAGAUAUUAAAUACGUAUUGAAAAAUGAUGACUAUAUGAAUCAAUCGGAUAAGAUAAUGCACUCCACAUCGAAUUUUCUAUACCACUCGAUAUUAAAGGGCACAAAGAAUCGCUCUUAUUUAGAAUAGCCUAUUUAAAUUCCAACCCACC